rnacentral:piRNA from 1 species
AAGAAAAAGAUUUCAUUGGGACUGGCU